rnacentral:rRNA from 1 species
CGAACGCCCGCGCAAGGGGAGUGGCAGACGGGUGAGUAACGCGUGGGCAACAUACCCUUUCCUGCGGAAUANCUCCGGGAAAACGUGGUAAUUAAUACCAUCAUACGCUCACUACGGGGAAAAAAUAUUUAUCGGAAGGAUUGGUNCGCGUUGGAUUAGCUAGUUGGUGGGGUAAAGGCCUACCAAGGCUACGAUCCAUAGCUGGGUCUGAGAGGAUGAUUAGUCACAUUGGGACUGACACACCGGCCCAAAGUCAUACGGGAGGCAGCAGUGGGGAAUAUUUGGUCUAUGGGCNCAAGCCUGAUCCACANUGACGGGUGANUGAUAAGGUGCCUUACGGGG